rnacentral:rRNA from 1 species
GACGAACGCUGGCGGCGUGCUUAACACAUGCAAGUCGUACGGUAAGGCCCUUUCGGUGGUACACGAUUGGCGAACGGGUGAGUAACACGUGAGUAACCUGCCCACCCCUUUCUUAUAACUCUCGUCAACUGGUUCUAACACUUGCUAUGUGCUCCUUCCUCCUGGUUGGUGUUGGAAAGCUCCGGGGGUUGUGGAUGGACUCGCGGCCUAUCAACUUGUUGGUGGGGGAGUGGCCUACCAAGGCGGCGACGGGUAGCCGGCCUGAGAGGGUGACCGGCCACAUUGGGACUGGGAUACGGCCCAGAAUCCUACGGGAGGCAGCAGUGGGGAAUAAUGCACAAUGGGCGGAAGCCUGAUGCAGCAACGCCGCGUGCGGGAUGACGGCCUUCGGGUUGUAAACCGGUUUCAGCAGGGACGAAGCUUUUUGUGACGGUACCUGCAGAAGAAGCACCGGCUAACUACGUG